CGAGCAAAUCUUGCUGAUAAGACGUUUUCGAACAAUAGCUCGCGAGCAACUGAGGAUUAAGAUUUCAGGUCUACCUACGUUAAUCUAUAGAUGUGUUUGUCCUUCUUUUUAGUGGUAAUGUGAACGAUAAAAAAAAAAAAAAAAAAAAAAUGGGGAAAAUGUGUUUGAAUAAAAACUCAAGUGUGCAGUCUGCAGCGCAAGACGCUUUCAGCAGCGUGACUCGAUUUCUUCGCUGGCUCUUCAGUUUCAUCUGCGGCGUCUUGUUCUAAGAUUUCAAGCUCAAUCGGUGAGUACAGUCGUUGUUUUUCGAAAUUUCGACUGGACUGGACUCACAAAUCAGGGUGAACCACCUAAACUUUGCUUUCGCCCGAUCUUCACGCUAUAUCCUUUGAGCUUGACACAGAGUAAUCAGAAUCAGAGCGAAAAGCUGCGCGUGGAUAUCACGAAGAGCGCUGAGCGCGCAUGAGCGAAGUUGCGUCGUCGUAGCAUAGGCAUGAGCACUGCUGGAAUCUCAGUCCCAGUACCGGCUGAAAAUGGCAGCAAAACUCUUGCUGUGAUUGUGUUCUUCUAUCAUGGCUUGUGAUUCGGUGUGGUUAAUUUUAUAUGUGUUUUGUUUCCACAUUUACUCGUUAAUUUCGGCAGUGUAUCAAGUGUUCCGGGGAUCGUACCCGUCUUUCAGUCGGUCUCGCUGAUAAAUGAAACCUUUUAUCGCAGUCAAAUAGUGUGUUCCUCAAGAUGUACGUCGAGAUAGAGGGUAAACAUUUACACGAUGGAAUGGAGGUUAGAAUGAGUUCCACAGCUGGGAAGUUCGGUAGUGAAUGUGUCCUUUCGGAGAAAAGUGAUAUUAUCGACAGCCAACAUUUUUCGAAAGUGUGGAGUAACAGGACGCAUGCUGUCAUAAGUUUCAAUGUGCAAUAUGUGCCCUCGUUUUUCAAUUCGCCCGUAUUUAUUUGUGUGAAAUCAUCCUUAAGAACUAGUGUAAACAAUUCCAACACAAUCGAUAGCGAAGUCACCAAGUGGAUUCAUCAAGGUGAAAUUUUGUUCAGAACUAAUCGCAUUUUACAUCCAGGGCAGCAUAUCUCAAGAACUGGAGCUCAAAAUCUCAAAUGGGGUUCAAGUGCAGUCUCCGAAGCAGAACCAGGAACGAUCUCGGAGUCGGACGCGGGAGCGCUACGAUCCCGUCGAAACGGGAACUCGGAGUCGGAGUUCGGAAGUGUGAGAGCGGUGUCGCAACUGCCGCCCUCGGUGGCGGAAGCGCCGCCGGCUCCGAUUCUGCCGUCAGACGACGUAAUCCUUUACGGGAUGCGGCUGGAGAGCGCUGAAUCGCCGGCCGAGUACGACGAAGCCGGUGUCCCCGAGCUCCUGGCAGGCACUAAGGCCACGUUUCGCCUCUUUGGCUCCGGCUGGACCAACCAGACCGUCUUUGCCCUCACCGCUAGCAGCGGCCACCGUAACGGCUACUGCGAACAUCCCAAGGACGAAGUCGCCAAGGUAGGCCCUUUCGCCAAGGGUAGCACAAUACAUGUAUAAUGCCACCUCCAGAAUUAAACUCUUUCUUCAAAUUAUCACCAACUCAUCUGAAAUUACAUCAUCCAAUCAGCUCUUGCAAAACAACUAAUAUUCAUUUCCUCUACUCGCCAAUAAAAAUUCCUCAACCCACCGGCAGCUCUAGGGUUGCAUAGUAACCAGUUAAGAAGUAUAAUAUGAUAUCCAUAUUUGAAAUCGGUUGGAUCAAGAAAUUGCUUCUGUGAACCACUGUUUGACAAACAAUCUGUUCAAAAAUGAGCGUGAUUAGUAAUGUUUAAUUCCUGCAUCUCUGAAAACUACAGAGUCCACAGAGUUCACAGGAAUUUUCCUCGAUUUUUUUCAACAACAUUAACACACAAAAAACGAGCUCAAAGUUGCGUCUUUUGAGCUCUCAUUUAAACGUGUGCCGGCGAGUCACUCAAAAUGGCCGCCUCGCCCGCCCGUCGGAAAAUGGCUACACUCGUUGCGUUAACUCCGCAGCGAAAAUUUCUGUGAGCUCUGUGUGCUCUCUAGAUUUCAGAAAAGCAGGAAUUAAACAUUACUCAACCAGCUCAUUUGUUUCCAUCUACUCAUCGUGCAACAAGGAAGGGCGGCCUUUCGGUUCUCUAGAAGCUGUCGAAAUAGUUGAGUUAAAAAGUGAUAGCGAUGAGUAGACCCAUACUGAUUGCAAUGGGAGUUUUUGAAGCUGGCAGACAUGAACCCACGAAAAAGGUGACACAACUGGAGUCAAUUAUUUUACCCUUUUCCGGGGGGGCAUUGGCAAAAACGCUGAAAGACGUGUCUAAUGGAUUUUUAUGAACUGCAAUUUGGCCAAACGCCGAUCGAUUUUGAGGAGGCAUGAGUGUAAGGUCCCUUGUAAGUUGUUGUCAAAGGGCAAGGCAACAUCAAUUAAAGUCAGGUAUCACCUCCUUACCUUUCAUUAUUAAGUAGGGCUUGCUCGCUUGGAAACAACGGUUAGUCUGCAACUGCAUAUUCCAUGACACUGUCUUCCUUCCAGAUUCAGUUAUAUUCAGGGGUCGGUCAAGAUUGAUUGAAAGGAGGUUAGUACAUUCGUCCAUUUGUACGUCUUAUUGAUGACGUACUAGUGGGAACUCAAUUGGCGCGAAGUUCGAAUCGACGCGUCAAGGGCGGGUUGUGAGCGCAAAAGAACUGACGCCGUUACCGCAUGCCCCGCAUUGCAUGGGCCGUCUACAUUUCUUAACCUAACUUCAAUCAGAAUGGUUUGAGAGUUCUGUCAGAUCGAGUUCUCACUAGUACGUCAUCAAUAUGACCGGAUGUACCACCUCCUUUCAAUCAACCUUGGAGGUGGUGCUGUGUGCUUAUAUUUGUAUAAUUUUGCCGCCCAAAAAGGGAAUAUUUGAAUUCGGGUUAUUUGAAGUUUACAGUCGAAGAAAGUUCAGUUUCGAAAAAAAGUCAUUGAAAAUACUCGUCUGUACUUAAAGUUCAAGGCACGGAGUUGGCGGGCUAUAAACUGCAAUCUAUCUUUACAGCCUUACUUGGCACAAGAAUGAGCUAAAAUGUUCACAGCGUACUAUUCAGGAAAAUGGAAGAGCUUUCGCCGUUGAAAUUAUUCUGUUACAUGUUUACGCCUGUAGGAUCUCGCAUUGACUUGGCGGCUAUGGCUGUCACUUGUUACAUGCUAGAUCAAAGGUAUCAUAAACCGCACCAAAAUUGUCCUUUUUCAGGGCGUCGAUUGGAUGUUUCAGGGGCGAGUGAUUGACAUUAUUUCGAGGGCUGAAGAACGGAGGUACGACAUAAACAAAACUAGACAAACAACAUAAACCAUAAACAAAUAUAAGGGGGGCGAGGCCGCUGGCAAAAAGUACAAAAUUGCAGACAGGGAAGCGCACACCAAGGUGAAGAAGGAUGAGCGGGGUCAGAGAAACUAAAUGUACCCUGAUCUCUAUACUCGUUUGAACUCGUGCGGCCGGGCCACAAAGUAGGUUACGGACAGAAAACUUUUGGACCAACAGUCAGUCGCACAGUGACCUAGAAGCGAAAACAUUAAUGGUUGAUGCCUCAUCGCUUGGGGUGUAAAAAGAGUCCUUUUCGGUAGGCUAUCGGUAUGUGUUACUACUUGUCUCUAAAUAUGCAAUGACGCUCUUGUCGGGAACGCCAUCGAUACUUCGCGGGAGCCCAGUUGCAGCAUCGUUGCCCAAUAUGUUUGUCUUCUGGGUUGCUUGGCCCGUAAAAUCCACCAUUAAGCGUGUCACUUAAGUCCUGUUUGAAAUAUAGCUUCCAGUUUUGAAUGUAUUGCGAUUGAAGCGGUACGCCGCACACCCCUUUGUAAAGCAUUUUUGCUGCACCUUCAACGUAAAUCUAGAGUACAUCUGGAGUACCUUUAUUGACAGAGUAUGGCCUUUCUCAUCGUUUUACUACAGGAAGACUGUGCCGCAUUUUGAUUGGUCAACGAGUUUUUAGGCUUCACGAUGCUCUUACGGCCGUAAAUAAACGAAGAAGAUGGCGGCUCACCGUAACAUUGAUAAGAAGCUAAAAAGUGACAAAAAGGACCCCGCAUACGCACACGCACACCUCUUAUGGGAAGCUGCACCAUGAAGAAACAUUAAUUUUUUUUAUGGCAUUCGAUUCUCCUCAAGAUGCUGAUCAAAAGUUAUCAUUGCGCCAACUUUCUAUGAUGCACCGUUUUCACAAAAAACUCAAGAUUCAAUUAUUCGGCGAAAAUGAAUGAAAAGAACAAAGCAUUCGAGAACAGGCCCGAUGUAAAAAAAGAAAAUGUAGCGCGUGUCAGUAUUCUUAUCUGUACCUGCCGACUCUGGGGCUAUCUCCAUCCCGCUCUCGUCCGGUUGACGUUCACUGUUUCUCUCCAACUUUCCUGUUCUUAGGCCUUGUCUCCACGGCGCAACUGUUGAGGGAAGUUGGCGCAACAGUUGAAGGAAGGAAGUGUCUCAAAAAUGUUUCACUUAUAAGUGAAACUUUCAAGGUCAAAAACCUGGAACCUCAACAGUUGUUUACCUUCGUGUUUUGAAUUGAUAAACGCAGGUUACACGUGAAGCGGUAGUUUAUUACGGGUGUUUCAUUUCGGAGCGGUUAAUAUUUAGAAAUAUUUGAACACAUUUCAGUAUCAAUUUUAUAUUUUCGUUUGUAGCAUAUCACUACAACAGAAAAAUAAAAUUUUAUCGAAUAUAUUUUGUUUUUAUCCAUAUCUGUGUUAUGUUAUUGUUUUUUGUUUUAUACCUAGUCGAAAUGACGCAAAAUAUUCACCUCCCGUUCAUAAUUAUCAGUUCAGUUACCUCAAUUGACAUCGUUUAACCUAAAAAAUUAACGUUGUUCAAAUAUUCCCGCCUAGAAGUUCCAGGGACACAUGCUUGUGCGUCGAGACAGGGAACUUCGAUUGGUGCAACAAACUCGUAACAGUUGCGCCAACUUUCCUCAACAGUUGCGCCGUGAAGACAAGGCCUUAUGCUCCUCAAGAAUCUGAUUUGGAUGGUCGAGCAAAACGGCGUGCGGAAUCCGAGAUAAGACUGCCGGUCGGUGCGGGAUUUCCCCUGAUUCCUUCUUGACACACAGCACUCGAGUGCUGGAAUGAGGAAUCUUUCUGGCUUUUUAUCGCCGAAUAAUUGAAUCUUCUCGGCUGUUUUUUGCAAAAACGGUGCAUCGUAGAAAGUUGGCGCAAUGAUAACUUUUGAUCAGCAUCUUGAGGAGAAUCGAAUGGUUAAAAACAAUUAAGGUUUCCUCAUGGUGCAGCUUCCCAUAAGAAGUGUGCGGGGUCCUUUCAAUUAUAGGUACGGCAUAAUCAAUUAAACCAGCAUAUCUACGAAUAACACAUGAAAACCUUUCAACCUUUGCGCCUUUAUCACAGGAGGAUGUAAGGUAUGCAUAACCUCAAACAUGCUCGCUGAUAACAGACAUCUUGUUUAUUUACGGCUGUGAGAACAUCGUCAGCCUGUUUUCACGCGACCAACGAAAAACCGGCAUUGAAAUGGUCAUACUCUGUCUAUAAUAGUACUCUAAUGUACUUUCAGUGGCGUACGGUCCAUGUAAGUAAAGGAAGCACUGCUUGCUCUAAGAUUUCUGAAGAAAUAUCGUGUGAGAAUGGGGAAAGACCCAUCCUAAGACAAAGAAGAAAGUGGUUCCAAAGAGGGUGUUAUAACGCCCUCUUUGGAAAUAGUGGAAAGUAACUUAAGCGUCUCUUGCGUAACGCGUGCCCUUAUAUGUGUUUUACCACAAAAUUGUCUGUUUUUCCCUUCCUCGUAAGCAUCUUAUGAUGCUUGCGAGGAUGUUUAAUCAUCGGUUGCGUGUACAAACUGGCCUAAAGACCAAACAUUUCCAUGUCGAAACUGAAAAGAGGAUGCAAUUCCCAAGUCCUCAUAAAUAUCGAAAUCCAUCUAUGUAUCGAAAAUUGAUUGAAUGGCUGAAUGUAUGUUUGAUCCAUUCCUAUUUAACAGCUCGUUUUUUUUUGUAAAUAUGACUUAGCAACGUCUCUGUUGUCGAGCCACGAAGUGGCGUGUCCAGUGCUGAAAUUAAUCUUUAAG
rnacentral:lncRNA from 1 species